CCAGACUCCUACGGGAGGCAGCAGUGGGGAAUAUUGCACAAUGGGGGGAACCCUGAUGCAGCGACGCCGCGUGAGGGAAGAAGGUUUUCGGAUUGUAAACCUCUGUCCUCUGUGACGAUAAUGACGGUAGCAGAGGAGGAAGCCCCGGCUAACUACGUGCCAGCAGCCGCGGUAAUACGUAGGGGGCAAGCGUUAUCCGGAUUUACUGGGUGUAAAGGGGGCGCAGACGGCAAUGCAAGCCAGGAGUGAAAGCCCGGGGCCCAACCCCGGGACUGCUCUUGGAACUGCAUGGCUGGAGUACAGGAGGGGCAGGCGGAAUUCCUAGUGUAGCGGUGAAAUGCGUAGAUAUUAGGAGGAACACCGGUGGCGAAGGCGGCCUACUGGACUGUGACUGACGUUGAGGCCCGAAAGCGUGGGGAGCAAACAGGAUUAGAUACCCCCGUAACU
rnacentral:rRNA from 1 species